GUCUCUAAUUAGAAAAAUAAGAUGGAGAGAUUUAGGGAUGGGAGAGAUUUUAGAGACAGAGAGACCGGGAUCCACUGGUGGAAUGUGAGAGGAUGUGUGAAGUUAUAUCAAUAUUUUAUAUUGUGGGCUUCUUUUCGCCUAUAUAUAGAAUGGAAUACAACAGGUGUGGUAUAGUGUUCAUCUUUAAGAGAUAGAGAGAGGAGGGUGUGAUAUAGUUUUGCAGGAUGGGUUCUAAGGCUGCCCUUGUCCCUAAUCUCCUUGUUUAUUUAGUGUUUAUUGUUCUCAUAUUAUCUUCUGUGCAAUCAGCUAGGGAAAUGGAGGGAAGUGAAAAUGAUAAGAAAGUGGGAGCAAAUUGCUGGCCAUGCCGCAGUGACCUACAAGCAUGCACCCUUUUAUGUUUCAAAGAGAAGCAAAUCACUGGUCGUAAAUGCCAAAUAGAGCGUGAAAACGGGGGCCAAGCCAACUGUUGUUGCUACUGAUGAGAACAAGAAGAUGAUGGGGGACCCGUGUAUUGAAUAAAUCUUAUCAUGAACAAAUAAAUUAAUAAUGAGCCCUAAUGGCUUGUCAACCUUUCUUGAA